rnacentral:rRNA from 1 species
UGGGGAAUUUUGGACAAUGGGCGCAAGCCUGAUCCAGCCAUGCCGCGUGCAGGAUGAAGGCCUUCGGGUUGUAAACUGCUUUUGUACGGAACGAAAAGGCUCUGGUUAAUACCUGGGGCUCAUGACGGUACCGUAAGAAUAAGCACCGGCUAACUACGUGCCAGCAGCCGCGGUAAUACGUAGGGUGCGAGCGUUAAUCGGAAUUACUGGGCGUAAAGCGUGCGCAGGCGGUGAUGUAAGACAGAUGUGAAAUCCCCGGGCUCAACCUGGGAACUGCAUCUGUGACUGCAUUGCUGGAGUGCGGCAGAGGGGGAUGGAAUUCCGCGUGUCGCAGUGAAAUGCGUAGAUAUGCGGAGUAACACCGAUGGCGAAGGCAAUCCCCUGGGCCUGCACUGACGCUCAUGCACGAAAGCGUGGGGAGCAAACA